CUGCAAAGUAUUCACUGCACUCUGGUGAUAUUCCUCUCCUGUAACUCUAUUUUGGUAUGUUAAUAUAUUCCUUGUCACUCUGCAAAGUAUUCACUGCACUCUGGUGUUUUUCCUCUCCUGUAACUCUAUUUUGGGCAUCGCCGUAACGACAAGACUUCUUAAAUCAUCUCACCUGAGCGGAGAGGUUUUGAAUAUCAGGCCCUUAAAGAGACCUAAAUGCCAAUAUGAUGCUGAGCAGCGGAAGUUAUAAAGCAGGAUUUAAAGGGAUAUUCCAGCCAAAAUUGGAAACCACACGGGUGCAUUUCGGUAUUGAACAGAAGCAAUUUUGUAAUAUACAUGCAUUAGCAAAAAUGAUUCUAAUAAAAGUUAUAACUGUUUCAAAAGUGUAUUUAAGUAUGCACCGUGUACCAGCAUUAUGAACACUGCGCUUGCUUAGAGAGCCUAAAGUGCUUGUACUAUCUGGUAAUUACUCAAUUUGUUAAUUGCUGACAUGAUAUAAGCCCCAGUUAUGAUCAAGCAACUAUGUGGGUGCAGUGACUUUAUCUAGCUACGCUUCACAUGCACGUGCAGAGAAAAAUGCUUACACUAAAACUGUGAUACCUUUUACUAGAAGCAUUUUUGCCAAUACAUUUAUAUUGCAACAAUGUUUCUAUUAAAAUAUGUAAUUCAUCUAUGUACAUUUAUAUUUUGACUGGAAUGUCCCUUUAAAAAGAGCAUCUUUAGAUUUUUCUUCUUUCUUUUUAAUGUCCUGAUUGGCACUGCAUGCUUGAUGCUAACACAGGUGUUAAUUGAUAAUUAUGAUCUGUGCGUCUUGCACUGAGUAUACCAACCAAUCAGUGCCAUGCAGCACCUAUACAGAGGUAAAAAGCAGCCCUUUUUUGUAAUGCACAUUGAUUUUUGAUUGCAAAAGUAAUGACUUCCAUGUCCCUUUAAUGUGUCCCUUACCAACUAUGUUACAUUUUAUUACAGCAUUUAGCAUCAGACUGGCUUUUGGUCUGUUAAUAUUGCGCAAGAUCAGUUCCCAUUUUAAAAAACACAAUUAUUUCCUGAUUUAAUAAAAUGUUAAAAUUCUAAACAAUAUAAAUUAUGUUAAAGAAAUGAAAUCUGAAAA